rnacentral:rRNA from 1 species
GUGAGGUAACGGCUCACCAAGGCAUCGACGGGUAGCUGGUCUGAGAGGACGAUCAGCCGCACUGGGACUGAGACACGGCCCAGACUCCUACGGGAGGCAGCAGUAGGGAAUCUUGCGCAAUGGGCGAAAGCCUGACGCAGCAACGCCGCGUGGGGGAAGAAGGCUCUCGGGUCGUAAACCCCUUUCAGCAGGGACGAAAAUGACGGUACCUGCAGAAGAAGGACCGGCCAACUACGUGCCAGCAGCCGCGGUAAUACGUAGGGUCCAAGCGUUGUCCGGAUUUAUUGGGCGUAAAGAGCUCGUAGGCGGUUUGGUAAGUCGGGUGUGAAAACUCAGGGCUCAACCCUGAGACGCCACUCGAUACUGCCAUGACUAGAGUCCGGUAGGGGAGUGUGGAAUUCCUGGUGUAGCGGUGAAAUGCGCAGAUAUCAGGAGGAACACCAACAGCGAAGGCAGCACUCUGGGCCGGUACUGACGCUGAGGAGCGAAAGCAUGGGGAGCAAACAGGAUUAGAUACCCUGGUAGUCCAUGCCGUAAACGUUGGGCACUAGGUGUGGGUCCCAUCCAACGGGAUCCGUGCCGCAGCUAACGCAUUAAGUG